rnacentral:lncRNA from 1 species
AGAGCCAAGAGGGAGGUCGGGCCAGGGCCUGGCGGCUUCCUCUGCGAACUCUGCCACUUUCUGGCCUCAGGUCCUGAGUUCUUAUCCCAGGUCCAGGAACAAUGAGGUUACUCAGGCAACUGGAGGGUGAGGAUGGAGAAGAGCUUUAUUGAGCAACAGAACAGCUCUCAGCAGAGAGGAGACCCAAAGUGGGUAGCUCCUACCUACAGGAAGGUUUCUGAAGGGGGCCAAGAUGGCCCAAUAGCAACAGCUCCAGUCUGCAGCUCCCAGAAAGACCAACGCAGAAGGCGGAUGAUGAAUUAGAGCGGUUGUUAUCGAAUCUGCCACCAGAGGGCGAUCCAGGCUGAAGAUCUCUCUCUCUGGGGAAGCCAGCCACCACUCUCCAAGGACUCUCUAGCAGCUCCAUCUGCAGAUUCACAUGGAGAAGAAUUAAGGGUUCCUGCCAAUCACCAGCACCACUUUGCCAGCCUUGUAAGUGGGCCACCUUGGAAUUGGAGCCUCCAGCUCCUACUGACAUCUGACUGCAACAUCAUGAGAGACCCUGGGUUUGAACCACCCAGCUGAGCUGCUUCUGAGCUAACCCACUGAAACCGUGAAAGUACCUGAAUGAAACAACACCCAGUAGCCACUAGCACACCUAGCUCCCAGAUCUCAGUUUUUGAUGCCAUUCUUCAGUAAAAGGAAGCAAGGCUCCUUGAAGAAAUUGCUAUCAAGGACUGGGGUAGAAAAUAUACAAGAUGAAAUUGGAGCAUCUUGUAGUGCUUAAAAACAGUCGGCAGCUGUGUGAAGACGGGAAUGGAGGAGGCAGGGUAGGCAGUGAGUGCCGCAGCCACAGCUUGGGUUCUCUGCAGCCCUGGCACAGAAGAUAGGAACACCCAUGGGGGAUGUGGCCACCAUGAUGUC